rnacentral:rRNA from 1 species
ACGCUCGACACCUACGGGGCAGCAGUGAGGAAUAUUGGUCAAUGGGCGCUAGCCUGAACCAGCCAAGUAGCGUGAAGGAUGAAGGCUCUAUGGGUCGUAAACUUCUUUUAUAUAAGAAUAAAGUGCAGUAUGUAUACUGUUUUGUAUGUAUUAUAUGAAUAAGGAUCGGCUAACUCCGUGCCAGCAGCCGCGGUAAUCUGAGCGGGCUGGCAAGGC